rnacentral:lncRNA from 1 species
CAGUAGUAAGCCUAGGCUCUAACUGCAGACAGAACAAUUAGCAAUAAAAGUACUGGGGUUGGUCAAAAUCACAAACUUUUUUCACCAAUUUGGGCUCCGAAUGCAAUUUAAUCUCUUAUUUUUCCAGCCCCUCCCCGUCUGCCCUUUGAACAGCUAAUCCAGUGUUCUUUGCUUUGCCCAAUCCUCUCCCCGAAUUGCAUGAGAGUGCUGAGUACCUACAGUUUAAAGAGACAAGAGCCGGAGUCUGAUCCUUGACUACCGCUGUUCAUCUUGCCGCCUUUGAUAAUGUUCUUAAACUCGGAAUUGCCGGCUGCAAGGUAACUCGGAUCGGGCUGCUGGAAUGUUGCCCCACACGCCCGUCCUCGCUCUAGAGAUUUUAGAUUCACAUUCUUGUGCUCAGCCAUCUUUCCCCCCAAACACAACCACGGCGCCUUGCGGGCGGUUCUGAAACACCUUCCAGCAUCAGCCAGACCAUGUCACGUGAUCGUCCGCGGCCCUCUUCCGCAACUCUUCUGGUUCACGUACUGAGCUGGUGGUACGGAUCCAGGCUUCCCUUUUCCUUCAGUUCAUUUUAUUUCCAUGGCCCGCACGUCCCUUUCUGUCCACAGACCUUGGUUGGGGGCACCCCAGUCCACCCUCUCCAGUCUUCCUGUUCUCAAAUGCCCAAAAGCCUCAGCUGGCAGCUUCAGCAUCUUCUCUCUCAGAAGGUUCUUGUGCUCUUUUUUUCUUACACAUUGGAACAUUCUGUAAUGUUCCAGUUACCUUGGAGUUGCCACUGUACCCCCUGGCUACACCAUCUAUCCCCUGAACACGCCUCACUUCAGGCUUUCUCUUAUGCUAGGGGGUUUAGAGAUUGGCAACCUCACCCUAGUUACAGAAAGUUCUCUUAUCUCCUAAGGUCAGAACACCACAGGCCUCUGCGCUUACAUAACCGAGAACGGCCUUUAAGAUACUUUUUUUGUGCUCCUAGGAAAACUCCUCCCGAUGACCGGGUGUCUCUACUUCGAGAUAUAAGAAAAGGGAGUCAGAAGAGAGCUUUGGGGCCUGUCCUUGCCAUAGGCACAGUAUGUCCGUCUUCCAUCUGUGGACUACAAUGGAACCACUAUCUCUGA